rnacentral:rRNA from 1 species
AGCGAACGCUGGCGGCGUGGUUGAGACAUGCAAGUCGCACGGGUUCAUCCGGCCGUAAGGUUGGGUGGCUAGUGGCGAAAGGGAGAGUACAAAGCAGGCAACGUACCCCGGGCACUGGGAUAGCCCGCCGAAAGGCGGAUUAAUACCAGAGACACCUCAAUUCGCAUGGAUCGUGGUCAAAGGUGGGGACCCCGACUUGUCGGGGCCUGCCGGCUGGGAGCGACCGCCCGAUCAGCCAGUUGGUGAGGUAACGGCUCACCAAGGCGAUGACGCGUAGCCGGCCUUAGCGGGUGUGCGGCCUCACUGGGACUGAGACACUGCCCAGAGCCCUACGGGGUGCAGCAGUCUCGAAUCAUCCGCAAUGCGCGCAAGCGUGACGGUGCGACGCCGCGUGCGGGAGGAAGCCCUUCGGGGUGUAAACCGCUUUCGGAGGUAUGAAGUGCCGCCGCUGAAUAGGCGGUCGGCAUUGACGUCAACUCUGGAAUAAGCCCCGGCUAACUUCGUGCCAGCAGCCGCGGUAAGACGAAGGGGGCGAGCGUUGCUCGGAAUCACUGGGCUUAAAGCGGGCGUAGGCGGUCCGGUAAGUCGGAUGUGAAAGCCCUCGGCUCAACCGAGGAACGGCACCCGAAACUACCGGACUUGAGGUGCUCAGGGGCGAGUGGAACUCUCGGUGGAGCGGUGAAAUGCGUAGAGAUCGAGAGGAACGCCGAUGGCGAAGGCAACUCGCUGGGAGUAUCCUGACGCUCAGGCCCGAAAGCUAGGGGAGCGAACGGGAUUAGAUACCCCGGUAGUCCUAGCCCUAAACGAUGCGCACUAGGUGGGGGAGAUCCUGACGGUCAUCCCCGCCGCGGGGAAACCAUUAAGUGCGCCGCCUGGGGAGACGGUCGCAAGGCU